UACGUAGGGUGCGAGCGUUAAUCGGAAUUACUGGGCGUAAAGUGUGCGCAGGCGGCAGAGCAAGUCGAGUGUGAAAGCCCCGGGCUCAACCUGGGAACUGCAUUUGUGACUGCAUAGCUAGAGUACGGUAGAGGGGGAUGGAAUUCCGCGUGUAGCAGUGAAAUGCGUAGAUAUGCGGAGGAACACCGAUGGCGAAGGCAAUCCCCUGGACCUGUACUGACGCUCAUGCACGAAAGCGUGGGGAGCAAACAGG
rnacentral:rRNA from 1 species